GGAAAUACACGAGACGAAGAGAGCAUGAUCCACCGGUAAGAAUUUAGAACGGAUGGUGAUAUUACAAUUGAAUGGAAUACAUGAGAACGAACAGGUCAAGAUCCAUCUAGUAGAAGACAUAAACAGGGCACCGAUAAGAAUUUGUAUACGAAUGAAGAAAAUAUUGAACGACCGAAGAGACAUCAAUUGAGAAUGAAGAAAUCUUCUGAAAUGAAAACAACUCUGAAAUCCUCCGAAUAGAUAUGGGACUAAUUACUCAUGAUCGAAAAAAUUGAGAGGAUAGAAUGAAGUUGAAACCAUGAAUCUUCAUGAGAACGGAUAAAGAUUUAAGCAGAAAUCUUCUUUGGUCUUCAAUGCAUAGAAUGAUGGCAAGAAGCCCAUCAAGAAUUAUUGAGACACUCCGGAACAAUGAGUAAGGAAAUGUUGGGCCAAUGAUGAAAAUUAAUUUGAGU
rnacentral:lncRNA from 1 species